rnacentral:rRNA from 1 species
UGGGGAAUAUUGCACAAUGGGCGCAAGCCUGAUGCAGCCAUGCCGCGUGUGUGAAGAAGGCCUUCGGGUUGUAAAGCACUUUCAGCGAGGAGGAAGGGCAGUGUGUUAAUAGCACAUUGCAUUGACGUUACUCGCAGAAGAAGCACCGGCUAACUCCGUGCCAGCAGCCGCGGUAAUACGGAGGGUGCAAGCGUUAAUCGGAAUUACUGGGCGUAAAGCGCACGCAGGCGGUUUGUUAAGUCAGAUGUGAAAUCCCCGCGCUUAACGUGGGAACUGCAUUUGAAACUGGCAAGCUAGAGUCUUGUAGAGGGGGGUAGAAUUCCAGGUGUAGCGGUGAAAUGCGUAGAGAUCUGGAGGAAUACCGGUGGCGAAGGCGGCUCCCUGGACAAAGACUGACGCUCAGGUGCGAAAGCGUGGGGAGCAAACA